GUGCCGGGCAACCGAUCGUCAGAUAUCAUUGAUAACACCUCCCUUUCAUCGUGUUUUAUACCUGCCCUCUGCACGAGUGGAGGAUAUGGUGACAGUUUUUUUUUUUUAAUCUCAGCUGUGCCCCUCUAUCGGGCAUCUACUAUUUAUUUGUCCCCUGACCGGAAAGUAAAUAAAAGAGUGAGAGAUGAUAAAGCCUGCGGAAUUUCCGCUAGUCCUGGCGCGAACUACACGUCCCAGGAAGCCCUGGCGCCCGGACGCGUCUCCACCCCGCCAUCCACUUGGAGAAGGCUUUACUCAGCCCGGGCCGACGCGCGGGCCAAUCCCCUCGCCCUGCACCUUGGGCUGGAAGCUGAGGCGGAUUCGCCCCCCAAUGAUGCUCCAGUUACAGAAGCAGCGUAAGUUUGUCAUUGUCCAGAGGAAGAGGAGCAACGUGGUUCUUGCCCAUUUCAGCAGAACUGCUGGCAUCCUUCGGCUAGACCAGCCAGAGCUCCGGUUGUGAUUUUUCUGGGGAGACCCACGCUGCAGUCCAGACCAGCAAAGGACCCCUCUUGGAGCCGCGUCUGCAGCUGCGAUCGGCCGACGUGCCCCUGCCCAAGCCGCGGCUGGCUCCGUCCACCUCUUACCCUUCAUUUAUCCGUGGAUCAUUUUGAAUCCAUCUUGUAAAUGUUUAGCAUUUUGCUGCUUUACUGCUUCUUUCUGGGGACAGUUCCAGCCUUGGCCGAGACCGGCGGAGAGGGGCGACUGAGCCCGGAGAGAAGCGAAAUAUGGGGACCGGGGCUGAAAGCAGCGGUCGUCCUUCCCGCGCGCUAUUUCUAUAUUCAGGCGGUGGACACAUCAGGAAAUAAAUUCACAUCUUCUCCGGGUGAAAAGGUGUUCCAGAUUAAAAUCUCAGCACCAGAUGAGCAAUUCACUAGAGUUGGAGUCCAGGUUUUAGACCGAAAAGAUGGGUCCUUCAUAGUAAGAUACAGGAUGUAUGCAAGCUACAAAAAUCUGAAGAUAGAAGUAAAAUUCCAAGGCCAACAUGUAGCCAAAUCUCCAUAUAUUUUGAAAGGGCCGGUUUACCAUGAGAAUUGUGACUGUCCUUUGGAAGACAGUGCAGCCUGGCUUCGGGAGAUGAACUGCCCGGAAACCAUUACUCAGAUUCAGAGAGAUCUGGCACAUUUCCCCACCGUUGAUCCAGAAAAGAUUGCAGCAGAAAUCCCGAAAAGAUUUGGACAAAGACAGAGUUUAUGUCAUUAUACCUUGAAGGAUAACAAGGUUUAUAUCAAGACUCAUGGUGAACAUGUAGGUUUUAGAAUUUUCAUGGAUGCCAUACUACUUUCUUUGACUAGAAAAGUGAAGAUGCCAGAUGUGGAGUUUUUUGUUAACUUAGGAGACUGGCCUUUGGAAAAAAAGAAAUCCAGUUCACACAUCCAUCCCAUCUUUUCCUGGUGUGGCUCCACGGAUUCCAAGGAUAUCGUGAUGCCUACCUACGACCUGACUGACUCCGUUCUAGAAACCAUGGGCCGAGUGAGUUUGGAUAUGAUGUCUGUGCAAGCUAACACGGGGCCUCCCUGGGAAAGCAAAAACGCCACAGCUGUCUGGAGAGGGCGAGACAGCCGAAAGGAGAGACUUGAGCUGGUGAAACUGAGCAGAAAACACCCGGAACUUAUAGAUGCUGCUUUCACCAACUUUUUCUUCUUUAAACAUGACGAAAGCCUGUAUGGGCCCCUUGUGAAGCACAUUUCAUUCUUUGAUUUCUUCAAGCAUAAGUAUCAGAUAAAUGUGGACGGCACUGUCGCCGCAUACCGCCUGCCAUAUCUGCUGGUGGGCGACAGUGUCGUCCUGAAGCAGGACUCCAUCUACUAUGAACACUUUUAUAAUGAGCUGCAGCCCUGGAAACACUACAUUCCGGUUAAAAGCAACCUGAGCGACCUCCUAGAAAAACUUCAAUGGGCAAAAGAUCACGAUGAGGAGGCAAAGAAGAUAGCAAAAACAGGACAAGAAUUUGCAAGAAAUAAUCUCAUGGGUGAUGAUAUAUUCUGCUAUUAUUUUAAACUUUUCCAGGCAGCCCGUGCCCGGAGGACAGCGGCUUCUCAGAAGCUCUGUGGGGUGCUUAAGUAGGGAGGACCUUGCCCAUCACAACUUGACACGUGAGUGAAAUGGACCGCAUUCGAGCAAACUCCAGCGUAUCGAACUUGCUAAGCGUUAUAUCAGACAUGCUUUUGUACUGUUGCCGACACAGGAAUAUGCCAGUUUACAAGUGAGUGAGCCCCAAAUCCGAGAGGGCAUGAAGAGAGUGGAACCACAGACUGAAGAUGACCUCUUUCCUUGUACGUGCCACAGGAAGAAGACCAAAGAUGAACUCUAAUGGGCAAAAUACCUUCCUUUCAAAUAAUGGUGCUCUGAAGACUCUUCUUAACUGAAAAGAAGAAGAAUGUCUUUUAAAUAUUAAUUCCAUGGACAAUGUAAAAUCUGCUAUGUGAUUGCUUGGAUUAUAAAGAUAUGUUCCUUCUUAUUAUGCAGUAUUCCCGUGACUGUCCUUUGAAGCACGUUUUUAGAAUUUUAUAAUAAAAUCACUUUUAUUUUAAAA